rnacentral:rRNA from 1 species
CGAAAACGAAUUCUCUCUUGAGUGGAUCCUGAGUACGACGGAGCACGUGAAAUUCCGUCGGAAUCUGGGAGGACCAUCUCCUAAGGCUAAAUACUCUCUAGUGACCGAUAGUGAACCAGUACCGUGAGGGAAAGGUGAAAAGUACCCCGGAAGGGGAGUGAAAGAGAACUUGAAACCGUGUGCUUACAAGUAGUCAGAGCCCGUUAAUGGGUGAUGGCGUGCCUUUUGUAGAAUGAACCGGCGAGUUACGAUCUGAUGCAAGGUUAAGCAGAAAAUGUGGAGCCGUAGCGAAAGCGAGUCUGAAUAGGGCGAAUGAGUAUUUGGUCGUAGACCCGAAACCAGGUGAUCUACCCUUGGUCAGGUUGAAGUUCAGGUAACACUGAAUGGAGGACCGAACCGACUUACGUUGAAAAGUGAGCGGAUGAACUGAGGGUAGCGGAGAAAUUCCAAUCGAACUUGGAGAUAGCUGGUUCUCUCCGAAA